AGACUUCAGAAUGUACUAUUCAAAAAAGGAUGCAAUGGAGAACAUUUACAGAGGACUGUGGGUAAAGCAAAGUCUUCAAGGGAAGAUAACAAAGGAUGAAACAAUGGUGUUGUGUGACUUCCUAGUGUGAAUCAUGGCAAUACAGUGAAAGACAGUGAUUUACUGCUUUUGAGGGCGUGCAUGUAUAUGAUUAACGGAUGGAAGUGCAGGACUCCAAGAUUUACUUCCUUCCCUUUCCAGCAGAAUUACCUGAGACGAGUAAAAUCUACUGGUGGAGUCACUCCAUUAUUCUUAUCUGUGGAGAUCUAGAUCUUGAUUUGAAAGUUUCUGAGAAAAUCUUCAGCUCAGACUUGAGGGUCAACUUUACCAGCUGAAGGAUCUGCAUUUACUGCUCAACCACAUCUAAUUUGAUGUCCUCUGCAGAUUUAAAAUGUGUGCCUUCUUUUCCGUCACCAAGUCAUCCCUGGGUUACUACUGAACAUCCUUCUCAAUUCCCCCCGACCCAUGGAUGGCUGUUCUCCAUUGUCUGUUUCACCAGAUGUCCUCAAAACAAACAGACAGAAGAAGGAAGUGGCUAAUGACCCAAUCUAAUCUAGGUGGGAGAGAAAGUAAAGAGAGUCUCUUGGAAAACUGAAGAGAGUCACAGCAAGCCCACAGAGUUACACAGGAAUCAGGAGGAAUAAAAAUGUAAAGGAGCUGUGGAGUCCAAGUGUGACUGCCAAGAGGAAUCCAGCAAAGCCAAAAAGCCCAAGCAUGUAGCCCUGCCCGAAGCACGCCACACGCAUGGAAAACCCAGAGGAAAUGAGUGAGGAUCAAUGGGAAGAAGAGAGCCAGCCAGCUCUGUAUUCUAAGAACCUGGAAACAAUCUUUAUUCACACUGUUAAGACGAUUGAGAAAAAUGGAUGGAUAGAGUUUAUUUGCUAAGAGAAAAACUGAGUGACUACCUAGCUACCUCACUCCUUUUUGCUCUAUUGGAAGUUGAAGAUUUGUCCAGGAGCAGAUAGCUGAAGAGAGAGAGAGAGAAGAGAGAACGGCUUACAGCUCAGGUCCUCUCUCCAUGCUUAGGAACCACUACAAAUGCUACUGCCUUGAGUCUCAUUUUGUUUCCCUCUGGAAACCACAUGUGUACCUUGUUUGCAACAGUAUGGUUCUGGAGACCAGAAGGCCAAAAUCAAAAGUAUGGGCAGGCUUGAUUUCUUUAGAAGACUCCAGCGGAGAACUGUGUCUCCUUGCUUCUGAUUCUACAUCUCCAUCCAUGGGCCACUGUUUCAGCAACCUCAGCCAGUGCAACACAACCUCAGCCAAGAAGAGUAUGCAGAGAAAGGAGUCCCCUACCUGCCACAAAACUGUUGUCUGAAAACUGUCUCAUAUUG
rnacentral:lncRNA from 1 species